rnacentral:rRNA from 1 species
GGAAACUGGGGAUAAUACCCUAUAUGAUAUUGAUGCUGGAAUGCGCGAUAUCUGAAAGUUGAGGCGCCGUAGGAUGGGUCUGCGGCCGAUUAGGUAGUUGUUGGGGUAACGGCCCAACAAGCCUGUAAUCGGUACGGGUUGUGGGAGCAAGAGCCCGGAGAUGGAUUCUGAGACAUGAAUCCAGGCCCUACGGGGCGCAGCAGGCGCGAAAACUUUACAAUGCGGGAAACCGUGAUAAGGGAACCCCGAGUGCCCGUAGAAUCGGGCUGUUGAUCUGUGUAAAAAGCAGGUAAAGAAAGGGCCGGGCAAGACCGGUGCCAGCCGCCGCGGUAAUACCGGCGGCUCGAGUGGUGGCCACUAUUACUGGGCUUAAAGCGUUCGUAGCUGGGUUGUUAAGUCUCUUGGGAAAUCCACCGGCUCAACCGAUGGGCGACCAGUGGAAACUGGCAUUCUAGGGACCGGGAGAGGUGAGAGGUACUCCAGUGGUAGGAGUGAAAUCCUGUAAUCCUUGGGGGACCACCGAUGGCGAAGGCAUCUCACCAGAACGGCUCCGACAGUGAUGAACGAAAGCUGUGGUGAGCAACCGGAUUAGAUACCCGGGUAGUCCCAGCUGUAAACGAUGCGCG